UUUCUCCGUUUCCUCUUUGUUAAUAAACUUCUUAACAUAUUAUUCUUCGAAUAAUUCUACUAUAAAGUAACUAAUAUGAAUUUAUUUUAUCAUAUCAUGAUUGUUGGGAAUUAUGAAAUUAGCUAUUCAUAAUCAUAAAUAGAUAUACCUGUUCGGGUAGCUUUGUUAUUUCUGAGUUUUGUUGUUCCAUAGCUUUUUCCAUUGGAAUAUGUUUAUCUAAUUAACUGAGUAAAAUAUUUUUUGUGGAUUGGAGAGAGCAAAGGUGCUUCAACGCAUGAAGGCUUGCUUUUGCAAUGCCUUCUGCCUUUGUUAUAUAUAGAACGAAAGAAUAAGCUUACAAUUUACACAUGUUUCUUGUUUCUAAAACUAAGACUAAAGAAAGUGAAAAGUCAAAGAAAGGGGGGCCUAUGCCUAUCUAAAUUUUCUAACUUUACGUAAUCUAACUUUUCUAACUUUUCUAAUUUUUCUAACUUUACGUAAAGUUUUUCAACAAUCUAAUUAAUGUACAACUAUUGCAAUCAAGACUUUUGAUACAUUAAUAUACAAUAAUUCUGCCUUUGUACAGUAUCUUGUCUCCGUUGAUUUUGUCGUAUCUGUUCCAUUAUUGCUCUGUAUCUGCU
rnacentral:lncRNA from 1 species